rnacentral:rRNA from 1 species
UACGGAGGAUGCGAGCGUUAUCCGGAUUUAUUGGGUUUAAAGGGUGCGUAGGCGGGAUGCCAAGUCAGCGGUAAAAAUGCGGUGCUCAACGCCGUCGAGCCGUUGAAACUGGCGUUCUUGAGAGGGCGAGAAGUAUGCGGAAUGCGUGGUGUAGCGGUGAAAUGCAUAGAUAUCACGCAGAACUCCGAUUGCGAAGGCAGCAUACCGGCGCCCUACUGACGCUGAGGCACGAAAGCGUGGGUAUCGAACAGG